CCUACGGGAGGCAGCAGUGGGGAAUAUUGGGCAAUGGGCGCAAGCCUGACCCAGCACCGCCGCGUGAAGGAAGAAGGCUUUCGGGUUGUAAACUUCUUUUCUCAGGGACGAAGCAAGUGACGGUACCUGAGGAAUAAGCCACGGCUAACUACGUGCCAGCAGCCGCGGUACUACGUAGGUGGCAAGCGUUAUCCGGAUUUACUGGUGGUAAAGGGCGUGUAGGCGGGGACGCAAGGCAGAUGUGAAAACCACGGGGUCAACCUGUGGCCUGCAUUUGAAACGGUGUUUCUUGAGGACUGGAGAGGCAGACGGAAGUCCUAGUGUAGCGGUGAAAUGCGUAGAGAUUAGGAGGAACACCAGUGGCGAAGGCGGUCUGCUGGACAGCAACUGACGCUGAGGCGCGAAAGCGUGGGGAGCAAACAGGAUUAGAUACCCCGGUAGUC
rnacentral:rRNA from 1 species